rnacentral:misc_RNA from 1 species
AUUGUCUUUAUGCUAACAAAAGAAAACAUCUUGCAAUUGGACAAAUUCAAUAAUAUGUUCAUAUACACAUAAUAAGCCAAAGCACAAAAACAAUCUUCAUCAAUUUCUGCACUUUCCGUUCACCUAAUUCUACAUACUGCAAAUUGCCAUUCUUCAUCAUCAGCAACGGACGCCUAAAACAGAGCCACUACUGACUUGAAUCAUUACUCCACAUUUCACUCCACUGUCCACCCUAUGUGUAAACACUUUCAAUACCCUAACUCUUCCCACCAACUUCAUCCUCGUUUCCACCUCCAUUGUGGGUCCCUCAUCAAAGACGUUCACCGCCGUCGUCGGAAUCAUCCCGCCGGAGACAUCAGCUUUCAGCUUGGCUGGAAGUGGGUAAGACUGAACAUCAAAUUUCGCCGACAUAUGCUGGGUCCUACCACCGUCGAUCUUCCCGGCGGGAAUAAAAACAAGACCCACCGGCUCCCCUGAGUAACUGAGCUGAAGCGAACUGUCAUAGUGAGUAAACUCAUCCCGAUUUGGGUUUGUGACGGAGACGUACUGGAAGAAGGUGAAGUUAACAGUACCGUUGGUAACAGAGAAAGUAGGGAAUCGAACUGCCUCAACGGCGAUUUUGGGAGUUUUGGGUUUGAAGAGGAAGAAGUAAGCGACAACAAUGCCUGCAAUAAGAAAGAUCAAGAAGACAGUGGCACAAAUACAUGAAGCAAAAUUUGUUCGCCCGCUACUGGGUUUAGAUCUGUAAGGAUCAUUCAUGGCUAAAGAUUCAAUCUUUUUCACUCUAUUAUGAAACCCAGCUGGGAAAAUAUAGUGCCAAGAAUGUAGAAUAAGAAA